UACGUAGGGGGCGAGCGUUAAUCGGAAUUACUGGGCGUAAAGGGCUCGUAGGCGGCCAACUAAGUCGGACGUGAAAUCCCUCAGCUUAACUGGGGAACUGCGUCCGAUACUGGAUGGCUUGGAUUUGGGAGAGGGAUGCGGAAUUCCAGGUGUAGCGGUGAAAUGCGUAGAUAUCGAGAGGAACACCUGCGGCGAAGGCGGGUAGCUGGGCCGACACUGACGCUGAUGCGCGAAAGCCAGGGGAGCGAACGGG
rnacentral:rRNA from 1 species